rnacentral:rRNA from 1 species
GCGGCUACUGCUAUCAGGUUUCGACUAAGCCAUGCGAGUCAGGGGUCGUAAGACACCGGCGUACUGCUCAGUAACACGCGGACAAUCUACCCCCAGGUGGAGGAUAACCUCGGGAAACUGAGGCUAAUACCCCAUAGUUGUCAUGUGCUGGAAUGCUUUGACGAUGAAAGAAUUUCGCCUGAGGAUGAGUCUGCGGCCUAUCAGGUAGUAUGUGGUGUAAAGGACCACAUAGCCUAAGACGGGUACGGGCCUUGAAAGAGGGAGCCCGGAGAUGGACUCUGAGACACUAGUCCAGGCCCUACGGGGCGCAGCAGGCGCGAAAACUGUGCAAUGCGCGCAAGCGCGACACGGGAAGCCUGAGUGCCUUAACUAUGUUAAGGCUUUUCUUGAUCCUAAAAAGCUCAAGGAAUAAGAGCUGGGUAAGACGGGUGCCAGCCGCCGCGGUAACACCCGCAGCACGAGUAGUGGUCACUUUUAUUGAGCCUAAAGCGUUCGUAGCCGGUUUUGUAAAUCUUCAGAUAAAGCCUGAAGCUUAACUCCAGAAAGUCUGAAGAGACUGCAAGACUUGAGAUCGGGUGAGGUUAAACGUACUUUCAGGGUAGGGGUAAAAUCCUGUAAUCCCGGAAGGACGACCAGUGGCGAAAGCGUUUAACUAGAACGAAUCUGACGGUAAGGAACGAAGGCUAGGGUAGCAAACCGGAUUAGAUACCCGGGUAGUCCUAGCUGUAAACAUUGCCCAUUUAAUGUUGCUUUUCCGUUGAGGGAAGGCAGUGUCGGAGCGAAGGUGUUAAAUGGGCCGCUUGGGAAGUAUGGUCGCAAGACUGAAACUUAA